rnacentral:rRNA from 1 species
ACACAUGCAAGUCGAGCGCCCCGCAAGGGGAGCGGCAGACGGGUGAGUAACGCGUGGGAAUCUACCCUUUUCUACGGAAUANCGCAGGGAAACUUGUGCUAAUACCGUAUGAGCCCUUCGGGGGAAAGAUUUAUCGGGAAAGGAUGAGCCCGCGUUGGAUUACCUAGUUGGUGGGGUAAAGGCCUACCAAGGCGANGAUCCAGACCUGGUCUGAGAGGAUGAUCAGCCACAUUGGGACUGACACACGGCCCAAACUCCUACGG